rnacentral:rRNA from 1 species
UGGGGAAUAUUGCACAAUGGGCGCAACCCUGAUGCAGCGACGCCGCGUGGGUGAAGAAGCGCCUCGGCGCGUAAAGCCCUGUCAGCAGGGAAGAAAAUGACGGUACCUGAAGAAGAAGCCCCGGCUAACUACGUGCC